ensembl:snoRNA SNORD38A small nucleolar RNA, C/D box 38A
UUCCUGUGAGGAGAGCCUUGUCCAGUUCUGCUGCUGAAGCACAGAGAUGACAGCCUUGGCCGCUGAGGAA